CAGAUCUUGUUAAAAUCUAAAAAAAAUACUAAUUCCAAUCAUUUAAAACAAGUGGAGUUUUUUUUGUUCCCUCCCAUUGUCGCCAAGUGCUUCCUCAAAUCUCACACAUGCGGUAUCUUGUCACCAGUACAUUGUCACUUGAACAAUAUAAGCUAAGUAACGAAAUUCAUUUGUCUGUUUCUGCAGGAUUUAUUGCUGAGCUAAACUUUGGACGACCUGUGAAGAUAACUGAACUUCUACUCCACCCAUUAAGAGCCAAUCAAGGAACCAUCAGCAAAAGUUCCUGCUAAUCGGACGCAGUGGGCUCGAUUGUCAAGAUAAGAACUUCAAAUAACCCGUUAAACAGUAACAGUGAAAUGCUGCACCGGAGCACUUAAUGAUGUUCAGUGUAUACAGACAGAAUGAUACGAUGUACUGUAGGGUCAGGGGGUUUAUAUGACAUACGUAUAUACUGGGAACUGUUUUUGCUGUCUGGAUUCUUCAGGUCAGGUUUGAAAGUCAGAGGACCAGCUCAAAAAUUUGGAGAAUUUGUCCUUUUUAUAGAGCUGGACUGGACCACUGUAAUAAAGUUGUGAUGAGACUGAUACCGCUUUCAGGAUGCAGGAUGCAAAAAGCCGAGCUUAGCAUGAAGACGUAAAGGUGCGACAUGUAACAGUUUUACUUUUAAAGAUCAGUUGCAGCGGAUAUCCUCAUAAAGGAAAGUUCAGGACACUGUUGUGGCGACUCUUGAUGUCAUUCUGCUCCCUCCCCAGGUAGUCUCCUGCCCCAUGACCGGAAUCCAUCUCCACUGUUUGGAGCUGUAGCUAAGAAGUGUCUCCUAAUGGGUGGACUUUGAAGCACCCUUGUUUUGCUCUGCAGAAUCAAUGAGCUUGGAGAAGCAGCACAUGAAUCAGUGUCGCAGGUUCCUUUGGGAGUGAGGUCUCCUGGAGUGAACAACAAGGACUAUCGCCACCAGCUGCAGUCCAAGAUGGUGGAGUUGAAGUUUGUCUGCAUGAUCAGAGACUCAACGGAGAGCUAGAUGAACACCAUCGAGUAACCUGGCUGGUCUGCAGGUUUCCUAAUUAGUGGUUUUAAAGCUCAGGGUGGAGGCUCCAGCUGUUAGCAUCUUGGCAGCACCUGACUCUUCCUAACUCCAGGCGAAUCCAACAAUGAGCAAAGACGUCGGGUCAAGGGGGGCCAUACAAACAUCUCACGGUCAUGUUUGUAAUUAUGCAUAACUUUAAGCAGGCUGCAUUGUGUCUGCGUAAAGCGGGUCGGGCCCUACCUGAAAGCGGAGGUUGUGAUCGGGGACGGACGGACUGACGGACGGGCGUGGAGCUGAGUGAGCCGCGGUGAGAGGUUCCAAGCUGCAGCGGGAGCAGAGAGGCGUCGAGUCGGCGGAGCGGCGGAGCGCAGAGCCGCAGUUUAUGCUGGUGGCCCGGGACACUCCCUAUGACCCUCCCCUGCUGCUGCUGCUGCUGCUGCUGCACCGCCUGCAGAGAGGGGCGGACAACACCUACCUACACAACCAACCAAUAUAUCUACCUAUAUAUUAACUGUGUCAUAAAACUAUAUACCUGUUUUGGUGUGACAUAAAAACAGAAAUUGUGUUUUUGUCCCAUAUUGUUGGGUUUAUUUGCUGUGUUAUUUUCAUUUAGACUUUAGGUGCUGAGCUUAGGUGUUGGUUUCUCUGUUGCAGUUUUAUUUAAAAAAUAAAAUAAAAAAAAUCUA